AGUGAACGCUGGCGGCAGGCCUAACACAUGCAAGUCGAACGGCAGCAUAGUAAGAGCUUGCUCUUACGGGUGGCGAGCGGCGGACGGGUGCGGAAUACAUCGGAAUCUACUUUUUCGUGGGGGAUAACGCAGGGAAACUUACGCUAAUACCGCAUACGACCUACGGGUGAAAGCAGGGGUUCUUCUGACCUUGUGCGAUUGAAUGAGCCGAUGUCGGAUUAGCUAGGUGGCGGGGUAAAGGGCCACCAAGGCGACGAUCGGUAACUGGUCUGAGAGGAUGAUCAGCCAGACGGGAAGUGAGGCAGGUCCCAGACUCCUACAGGAGGCAGCAGUGGGGAAUCUUAGGCAAUGGGGGAAAGCCUGAUCCAGCCAUACCGCGUGAGUGAAGAAGGCGUUCUGGUUGUAGAAUGCUGUUGUUGGGAAAAAAAAGCAGCAGUUUAACACCCCGCUGUUCUGACGGUACCCGAAGAAUAAGCACCGGCUAACUUCGUG
rnacentral:rRNA from 1 species